UACGAAGGGUGCAAGCGUUAAUCGGAAUUACUGGGCGUAAAGGGUGCGUAGGCGGUUGUUUAAGUCUGACGUGAAAUCCCCGGGCUCAACCUGGGAAUGGCGAUGGAUACUGGACAGCUAGAGUGUGUCAGAGGAUGGUGGAAUUCCCGGUGUAGCGGUGAAAUGCGUAGAGAUCGGGAGGAACAUCAGUGGCGAAGGCGGCCAUCUGGGACAACACUGACGCUGAAGCACGCAAGCGUGGGGAGCAAACAGG
rnacentral:rRNA from 1 species